GAGUCUUGUCAAUGAUGUCUUCAAACACAAAUGUCUGAACAAAUGACUCUCUGUGAUUCAUUCUUCUUUACUGAGACAAGGCAGACA
ensembl:snoRNA